rnacentral:rRNA from 1 species
UACCCAGACUCCUACGGGAGGCAGCAGUGGGGGAUAUUGCACAAUGGGGGAAACCCUGAUGCAGCGACGCCGCGUGAGUGAAGAAGUAUUUCGGUAUGUAAAGCUCUAUCAGCAGGGAAGAAAAUGACAGUACCUGACCAAGAAGCCCCGGCUAACUACGUGCCAGCAGCCGCGGUAAUACGUAGGGGGCAAGCGUUAUCCGGAUUUACUGGGUGUAAAGGGAGCGUAGACGGUUAUGUAAGUCUGGAGUGAAAGCCCGGGGCCCAACCCCGGGACUGCCUUGGAAACUGUGUAACUGGAGUACAGGAGGGGCAGGCGGAAUUCCUGGUGUAGCGGUGAAAUGCGUAGAUAUAAGGAAGAACAACAGUGGCGAAGGCGGAUGACUGGACGGCAACUGACGGUGAGGCGCGAAAGCGUGGGGAGCAAACAGGAUUAGAUACCCCGGUACAU